GAUAGUAAGUACUGCGAUAUG
rnacentral:miRNA from 1 species